GGGCCCCUGGCGUAGUGGCUAUCGCGUGUGAUUCCAGUUUGGUAUCCACAAGGUCAUCCGUUCGACUCGGGUGGGGCUCA
rnacentral:tRNA from 1 species